rnacentral:rRNA from 1 species
AUUGAACGCUGGCGGCAUGCCUUACACAUGCAAGUCGAACGGUAACGGGCCUUCGGGUGCCGACGAGUGGCGAACGGGUGAGUAGUACAUCGGAACGUGCCCGAUCGUGGGGGAUAACGAGGCGAAAGCUUUGCUAAUACCGCAUACGAUCUACGGAUGAAAGCAGGGGACCGCAAGGCCUUGCGCGGACGGAGCGGCCGAUGGCAGAUUAGGUAGUUGGUGGGAUAAAAGCUUACCAAGCCGACGAUCUGUAGCUGGUCUGAGAGGAUGAUCAGCCACACUGGGACUGAGACACGGCCCAGACUCCUACGGGAGGCAGCAGUGGGGAAUUUUGGACAAUGGGCGCAAGCCUGAUCCAGCCAUGCCGCGUGCAGGAUGAAGGCCUUCGGGUUGUAAACUGCUUUUGUACGGAACGAAAAGCCUUCUUUUAAUACAGGAGGGUCAUGACGGUACCGUAAGAAUAAGCACCGGCUAACUACGU